GACGAACCGUGCGAACGUUGUUCGGAAUCACUGGGCUUAAAGGGCUCGUAGGCGGCCAACUAAGUCACACGUGAAAUCCCUCGGCUCAACCCGGGGAACUGCGUCGAUACUGAGGAGCUUGAAUCCGGGAGAGGGAUGUGGAAUUCCAGGUGUAGCGGUGAAAUGCGUAGAUAUCUGGAGGAACACCGGUGGCGAAGGCGGCAUCCUGGACCAAUAUUGACGCUGAGGAGCGAAAGCAUGGGGAGCGAACAGG
rnacentral:rRNA from 1 species